UGAGACAGGUGCUGCAUGGCUGUCGUCAGCUCGUGUUGUGAAAUGUUGGGUUAAGUCCCGCAACGAGCGCAACCCUUAUCCUUUGUUGCCAGCGGUUCGGCCGGGAACUCAAAGGAGACUGCCAGUGAUAAACUGGAGGAAGGUGGGGAUGACGUCAAGUCAUCAUGGCCCUUACGAGUAGGGCUACACACGUGCUACAAUGGCGCAUACAAAGAGAAGCGMCCUCGCGAGAGCAAGCGGMCCUCAUAAAGUGCGUCGUAGUCCGGAUUGGAGUCUGCAACUCGACUCCAUGAAGUSGGAAUCGCUAGUAAUCGUAGAUCAGAAUG
rnacentral:rRNA from 1 species